GGACUCAAGAGUUAUGAGGUCACAGACAGACACUCUUCAGUGGCUUCUCACACAGCUGGCCUUUCAAUAGGACUGCAAUGCCCAGGAGAGACCUACAAAUACAGUAUCCAAAAGAGGAUGGAAAUGCUGCAGAGUAUUUAGUGAGACACGAGGUCGGUAAUGUCAGCAUUUUUGAAGUAAAAAGGGUACUGAAUGGAAGAACUUUAACCUUGCUACUCAGCCUAUAAAGGAAUUUAGGGAAGGAUGGCAGAGUUUAAACAGUAAAAAUGAAAAAAAAUCCCUCAGCACUUGCAGUUUGGAGAAACCAGUGGUAGCACAAACAUGGGACAACUGAGAGAUGCAGUUUUCUAUAGCUCUUAAGAAAGCUGAGUAAGAAUUUGGCCCAGGUGAAUUUGCAAUAAAGGAACCACAAAACCACAGAAGAAACUGCAUUUGGAAGGAUUUACAAGGAUCCUUGAAACUGUUGCCAAGGUCCUUUGAGGCACCAUGACAACCCCAGUAUGUCAAGGACAGGCAGAGGUCAGCACCAGAGUUCUUUCUUCUGGAAGGUGCUGAGUCAUUUUGUUCAGAGAAGUGACAUUGCUUCACUGACACCAGACCAGUAACAAUAGUAUUGAAAUAAUAACUUCAUUUGGAUCAUCAGUUUUGAAGGGCUGAAUUUUGCCUCUAAGUUGCAUGGCUGCUUUUAGAGGAAGAUUCUGCCUGGUGCUCUCUCCUUCUGAUGCGAAGGAAUCUGUGCCUCCUUGACCACAUGAAGUGCUUGGUGCCAUCAAAUACGAUGGAAGGUAUCAGGGAGUAGGCUGUUUGAAAGAUCAGGUUCUCCAUAGAUGAGCAUGUCUCAAAUGAAAUUUUCUAGGUGAAAAUUCUAUUAGAACCUUC